rnacentral:rRNA from 1 species
ACAAGCGGUGGAGCAUGUGGUUAAUUCGAAGCAACGCGAAGAACCUUACCAGGUCUUGACAUCCCCUGACAACCCGAGAGAUCGGGCGUUCCCCUUCGGGGGACAGGGUGACAGGUGGUGCAUGGUUGUCGUCAGCUCGUGUCGUGAGAUGUUGGGUUAAGUCCCGCAACGAGCGCAACCCUCGACCUUAGUUGCCAGCAUUCAGUUGGGCACUCUAAGGUGACUGCCGGCUAAAAGUCGGAGGAAGUGGGGAUGACGUCAAAUCAUCAUGCCCCUUAUGACCUGGGCUACACACGUGCUACAAUGGGCGGUACAAAGGGUCGCGAACCCGCGAGGGGGAGCCAAUCCCAAAAAGCCGCUCUCAGUUCGGAUUGCAGGCUGCAACUCGCCUGCAUGAAGCCGGAAUCGCUAGUAAUCGCGGAUCAGCAUGCCGCGGUGAAUACGUUCCCGGGCCUU